rnacentral:rRNA from 1 species
UACGAAGGGGGCUAGCGUUGUUCGGAUUUACUGGGCGUAAAGCGCACGUAGGCGGGUUGUUAAGUCAGGGGUGAAAUCCUGGAGCUCAACUCCAGAACUGCCUUUGAUACUGGCAACCUAGAGGCUGGAAGAGGUUAGUGGAAUUCCCAGUGUAGAGGUGAAAUUCGUAGAUAUUGGGAAGAACACCAGUGGCGAAGGCGGCUAACUGGCCCGGUACUGACGCUGAGGUGCGAAAGCGUGGGGAGCAAACGGG